rnacentral:rRNA from 1 species
UACGAAGGGGGCUAGCGUUGCUCGGAAUGACUGGGCGUAAAGGGCGCGUAGGCGGCUUGCACCGUCAGAUGUGAAAUUCCUGGGCUUAACCUGGGGGCUGCAUUUGAUACGUGUGGGCUUGAGUGCGGAAGAGGGUCGUGGAAUUCCAGGUGUAGCGGUGAAAUGCGUAGAUAUCUGGAGGAAUACCGGUGGCGAAGGCGGCAUCCUGGACCGACAUUGACGCUGAACGGCGAAAGCUAGGGGAGCAAACGGG